GUUAAGGAAUUUUUCAUUUAUGUGCUGUGGAAUUCCUGUAUAGUUGGUGUGCAUUUAGUUCUGUAAAGUACUUUUCUAUUUCGGGUAAUGAGGAUAGUUAAACGGGUUCUUGAAAAUUUUUGCAGGCACCCUACGACUAAUGAGUAAUUAGAACUAUUGCUAUAAUGAUACACUGAGUAAUGUGUAAUCAAACCCUUUGCUUGAAUAUUGUAGCUUUUUUUCGAUGCAUUGCGUUUGUGAUUGCAAUUGUCAACAUGAAUAUAUUUGAUUAAUAAGGAGAAGUUUAGUUUGUUGCCUUUACUUUUAGAAGGUAUGCAAAGUUAACUAGCCAGUCCCCAUCUUGAAUUGAUGCUUAAAGAAAAUG
rnacentral:misc_RNA from 1 species